GAUGAACGCUGGCGGCGUGCCUAAUACAUGCAAGUCGAACGAAUCACUUCGGUGGUUAGUGGCGAACGGGUGAGUAAUACGUAAGCAACCUGCCUAUGGGACUGGGAUAACGUUUUGGAAACGAACGCUAAUACCGGAUAGGUAGAUUGGAGGCAUCUCUGAUCUAUUAAAGUUUAGAUACACCGAUAGAUGGGCUUACGGCGCAUUAGCUAGUUGGUGAGGUAACGGCUCACCAAGGCGAUGAUGCGUAGCCGGACUGAGAGGUUGAACGGCCACAUUGGGACUGAGACACGGCCCAAACUCCUACGGGAGGCAGCAGUAGGGAAUUUUCGGCAAUGGGGGAAACCCUGACCGAGCAACGCCGCGUGAGUGAAGACGGCCUUCGGGUUGUAAAGCUCUGUUGUAAAGGAAGAAUGGCAUGGAUAGAAUCCAUGAGUGACGGUACUUUACCAGAAAGCCACGGCUAACUACGUG
rnacentral:rRNA from 1 species